rnacentral:rRNA from 1 species
UACGAAGGGGGCUAGCGUUGUUCGGAAUCACUGGGCGUAAAGCGCACGCAGGCGGAUCGAUAAGUCGGGGGUGAAAGCCCGGGGCUCAACCUCGGAAUUGCCUUCGAUACUGUCGGUCUCGAGUCCGGGAGAGGUGAGUGGAAUUCCUAGUGUAGAGGUGAAAUUCGUAGAUAUUAGGAAGAACACUAGUGGCGAAGGCGGGUCUCUGGCCCGGUACUGACGCUCAGGUGCGAAAGCGUGGGGAGCAAACAGG